CUUGCUGCCGCUCGUCCUGAAUAUGGAGAUUGCCAUAUAGCUGAAUAAUGGGCAACAGGUUCAGGUCCACUUCCUCCACUCGGACGCGGGGGAAAAGAACGAGUGCAAUGGAUAGGAUUAUCACGACGAGGACUGUAUGGUAGCUGGAAGAAGCUGUAGUAGCUGCCCGCAGCAGCCUCUUGCUCAUGGCAAGGGCUCCAGCGGUGCUGCUGCUGCUGCUGGGUACACCCUCGCCUCCCACGCCGCAACCGUGGGGUGCUGGCAAUGGCUACACCAUCUCCGGUGAUCUGCUCAGGGAGCUUGGCUACCCAGACGGCCCUGCUGACCGGAGCAAGGACGGCCCUGCUGACCGGAGCAAAGACGGGGUGUCCGUGGAGCUGGGACAAGGGAGCAGCACUGCUGGUUCCAGGGCUGAAGCCAGUUGACUAUUGAGUGCGUCCUACCUGGGGCAAGCAGGGUGAGCCAGGCAUCGUUAGGGGCCAGCGGAGCUGUUUCUCUCGUGGCGUGAUGUUGUCCGGAGCGUGCAGCGGAGCUGGGUGAAGGGAGCAGCACUGCUUUACGUCCACCCUCGCUGACGUGUGAUGGCGGCGAGUUCAGCACGCCGCUACCGUGGCAGCGGUGGCCUCACAGGUGAUUCCUUGGGUUGCCCUUUGAUGUUGUUUCAGCCAUCGAGGGUGACUUAUGGUGUGCAUCGGCAUUUGUUGAUGUUCUGUUCUUUUGGGGGCUAUGGAAAAUCUUGAUGAUGUUUGUAUGCCACAUGGGUUGUGCUGUAUGCACUAGUAUUGUCUGAGUUGAAGUAUAUUAUUUGUUGUGCAGGUUUGAAUGUCCAAAAAAGAGGGAAGGUCAUGACAAAAAUUUCAGUACUCCCUGGUUGUUGUCUUGGUAUAUAUUCCUUAGUUGCUGACUGGAGCAAGGAUGGGGUGUCCGUGGAGCUGGGCCAAGGUAGCAGCGCUGCUGGUUCUGGGCCGAGGCCCGCUGACUAUUGAGUGCGACCUAACUGGGCCAAGCAGGGAGAAUAGGGCAUCGUCAGGAGCCAGCGGUGCUGUUUCUCUUGUCAUGGCAUUGUUGGGAGCGGCUAAAGCUGGGUGAAGGGAGCAGCGCCGCUUCACCUCCGCCCUCGCUGACCUGCGAUGGCGGCGACUUCAACAAACCGCUACCAUUGUAGCGGUGGCCUCUCAGGUCUGAAUGUCCAAAAAAGAGGGAAGGUCAUGAUGAAAUUUUCAGUACUCCCUGGUUGUUUUCUUUAGUUGGUAUAAAUUCCUUCGUUGCUAUUUCGUCCUGGUGGUUUGGGCCAGAAUUUCUGCUUGGCCUAGCUCUAAUUUUUCAUUGAAAACAUUUGAAACUAUUGGACAUGAAAGCAGCUGCGGGAGAGCGAUUGUGGCUGUGGCUGCAAGGGGCAGCAGUGGCUGUAGGAGGUGAGGAUGAUGCUUGGAUAUCGAACACAUGUUGCAAUGGCAGCCCUUUGCGUCAUCAUCAAUUGUCAGAAGCUGGCAGAAGACUCGACCAAAUAGAAAGCCCAUCUCUAUGUAUGCUAUGCAUGCCGCAGCCUCGGUCGAGCAAGCGAGCAGACAUCAUCCUAGUCAAGUUUGUAAUUUGUGUUGUGUUAGAAUAAGUCUGUGUGCCAUUCUGUUUGGCGUAAAUUAUAUGUUUGAUGCUGUGCAUUUGUUGGUGCAUCGGCUGAUUUGCCUUGACAUU